AAGCUUUGAGUUUAUAUAUGUAUAUAUUCUUAGUUCACUAUAGGUAUUUAAUAAGUUAAAAAUAUAUAUGUACAUAGAACAAAUACUGUCUGCCUUCCUGCUAUAUUUUUUUAAUUAUGGUGGUAUAAGAUUGGACAGUGUUUUCAGAGUGGCAAUACUGAAUCAUGAUUGUGAGGCUGGCCUCCUAGUCUAUGUAAUCAUAUUCUGCCUCAAAACAGUAAAAUUGAGCAGGUUUUAGGGGUGAUGAGUAAAUGAAUUCUAAGAAUAGUGAGAGAAAGUGUGUAUGUCUUCAGUGAUUGAGAAACUGAAGCCCACCUGGGACUUCAGCCAGGUGAGGAGCUAAGUUAGCCAGUAGGAAUCAGAGCACAUUCUUUCCUUAAAUACUGUUUCUGUGUUAUAAACCACUAUGUCCUGGUCCUCAGUGGAGUGGAUAUCUCAAGACUGAGCCUUGGCAGUUCUUACAAACAUGAAUGGUCUUCUGAAAAGCAAGCUACAGAUGAUGCCUAUCCUUGUUAAUAGGAGGAAAUAGGAAGCAUAGCCUGGAGCAGAACUGGGGAAAGAACUUAGCUUAGGGCUAAGAACCCCUCAGCUCUAUGCGUAGAAAGAAAACUCCAGCCUAUAAUAGGAAUAACAGUUCAGCCUUACUGAAUGCAGAGCACAGAGCAGCACCAGAAUGCCCUCCCAGAAGCAAGCUACCUGACAGCUCCAUUAGAGACAAGGAAGUCAGUGAGGCGUGUGCUCACACUGCUGAUGACUUCAACAAGCCAUACCCCAUGCUACUUGUUAGAGCUUCUUACUGAGUUUGUAUAUGUCAAGGCCACAGAUCCUCUGGUGCCACUUUUACUAGAAACUUCUUCGGUAAGCAAUACAAAAAUGACUACUUUUACUGAUGGUGUGUCAUUAGAAGCUGCUUUGUGUGUACACUGCUGCAGGGUUAGCAAUGCCCAAGCCAGGACUUGUUCCAAAAAAACAUGUAGAGUUCUCCAAGAACCUGUUUAUACUAAGAAAUGCCCUCCAACAUGUCUGACUGAAUGGCAUUUGAGAUUUAUAGGUCCUAGUAAACCAUCUUGUAUCCUUUUGUGAUUUGUUUGUGGGCAGGGAACUUUAUUCCUUUUGAGAACUUUUGUUUAUAAAUAGAUUUAAAUGUGCAAUCAAAAACUGUCAUCUCAAAAUAAAUACAGUUUUGACAAAAAUGUUAACCAUGACUUCAUCUCAUAUGUAAUACUUUAUUGAUGUUGGUAUUGAUCUGUGUUGUAAUGAAACCUGGAAUUCUAUUCCAAGUCUUAAACUAUGACACCACCUUCACCUUCAUCCUCUCAUUGGAGGUUGCUGUUAGACUCUUGCUAGUCCAGGGACACAUGUACUAAGUGGUUCGUGUGGGAUGCUAGGAAAUAUGAAUGCAUUUCUUAAAAGCAUAAGCCCACCUGAGUUCCCUGGGAUGUUAGUCCAUUUUUGUAAGGCCCACUCCAUGAAAGAGUUGCUCUUACAUUUGUAGAUGCAAUUCUCAUAUAAAGGCCAUGGUUGUUCCAACAUCAGCUAAAUUCUGUCCUUUUCCAGCUCUCUUGUAGUCAUUAUUGACCUCAAGUAGCAUUCCACUGAAUCUAGCCAUUGUGUUUUUGUCUGGGUUGCUAGAUUCUGGGAAAAUGAGGUGGAUGUCUGACUUCACCCCCAACUGAAGCUGUUUUAGAAAGAGUGCUACUUCACGCUGAACUCACCCUGGAAGCGUAACCUAACCAAAAAAAAGGAUUGCCUCCUCCCUUGUGGCAUGUCCCACCUGUCCAGAAGACUAAUAAUAAGCAACCACCUCCAAGCUUCCCAUAUCUGCACCUGAGCACCAGCUACUGCAGUCUAUGGAAAAGUUCUUGCCUUUAAGGGGGUACCGGAAAGUUGGGGAAACCUGGGGAAAGACUGAUAUUUGUGAGUAAAACAUGAAGUAACUGUAGUGUGGGAUACCAUGUGGGAGGCCUUAGUGACCUCAUAUAUCAGCAGAUAAGUGAAAGAUAUAGUCCUGGCCAUGACAAGAAUUCUAAGUGUGUCUUAUUUUGGUUAAUACUAAAUUUGGAGUCUCUGGAUAUUAAUAACAAAAGUUUUCAUCCAAUUGGUGUUUGAGAAAGAGAAAAAGAGAUUGAAGGUGGUGCAGUGGGAAAGCAGCAGUAGGUCACAUACUUAUCCGUCCUGUCCAGACACCUGUAGUGCUGAGCCUGAAACAUUUCUAUUCUAGAAUAUUACCCAGAAAAUGUAUAUCUGUUUCAUAAGUUAAUUUUAAUGUAGACUUUAAAUGAUCCCUAUAUUGCAUUCAGCAGCUGUGUAUUGACCAUGUAUGGUGGUAGACGGUGCUGGUGUUAGGCUCAGUGCAGUAAAAACAAGACAAGGUCUUUGCAGGAGGGCUCAUUAAUAACCUUACAACUAUGAGGUAUGAUAUUUUGAAAUUGGAUGGUGUGGUAAUAAGAGGAAUAGAGUGGAAGUAGCCUUUUGAAUUGAGGUAUCUGUGGAAGAGGCAAAGAGGGUUACUAUGGUGGGCUACUGAAGUGUUAAACUGUUUGAACCAGACCCUAUGGCCAAGUGUGGUUAGCCCUUUGUAUACAAAGGCCAACAGUGGGAGGAUCUCUGCCCUCUUCACACAUGAAAUAUUGGCAACAAGCGAGUAGCCAAUUCAUGAUGGUACAACUUCUGGGAAAAAGUGGCACUUUGUCUAUCAUGUUGCUGUAGAUUGUGACUGAACCGUCAGUCAAGAGGCUGGACCUUGUCUUCAGAACGGCAACAUGUAGGUGCUAAUCAAUGCUUUGUAUGUGACAGUAAUGACAUUGAAUCCACUUUCUUGAUGUAGGCAUGAAAAGAAUAUCUGAACUUGUCUUGGUAACAUGUAAAUAAGCCACUUCCUGGACAUUGUUUCUUCCUACAGAUAAUCAUUGUUUGAUGAUUUUUGUUGUUGUUGUUGAAUGUCACCAUGACUUGAGAACCUUAGAACUCAUGUGGUUGCCACUAAAAAAGCCCAAGAGAAACAGCCAGAAGUACAUAAUACACUUUCAGUAAGGUGACAGUUGAAAGAUUUCAAUAAAAAAACUUAUAAUUCACUAAC
rnacentral:lncRNA from 1 species